CGGGCAUACGUCUUCCUUUCAGUGACCUGCUAAUUCGUUACUUAUUAAUGAAAAACCUGCGGCUGGUUUAUUUGUUCGCUGGGGCAACUCAUCCAUCUCCACUGGAAGACAGCAAGUCCGGGCCAGACAAAGACGACACUCAUCUGUUUCAGCCACCUGACUGCAACGAUGACAAACCCCAAACCUACCACGCUGCUGUUGGAAAUCUAUGGUGUAAAAAUAGAGCGCCGAGAGGUGACAUCAUGUCCUGUGUACGAGAAGAGAAUCACGCCCAUGUUUAAAAACACACGGGGGGAUGAGAAGGAGGCAUAAAAACAAAGAAACACAAAGUGAGUGGGGGUGAAAUCGGCCAGGGCAAACAUGACCAUACAAACUGAAACUGUGUGUAUUAUUUUAGAGUGUCUGCAUGUACCAACCAUCUGUGUAUGUCCCUGUGUGUGUGUGUCUGUGUGUCUGUGUGUGUUGGCAUGAGCUUAUCGCGGAAGAAUGUAGUGGAAAACUGGGAAACAGGAAGUCUCCAUCAGAAGGAAUGAGGCAGCAAGAGCUUUUUACAAAACUCACAAUUCUGCGUCGGUCCCAGAAAAAGAAAUCCAUCGGAGAAGCUGAAGAGAUGCAUCAAUGUCUGAACCAGCAAAAGCCUCCAAAGACCAGAAUGCACUGCAUCACCGAUACCUGCGGGCACCAGCUUUGACUCCAAACUACAAACUUCAGCGAAAGCAGUUCCAUCAUUGGGUGAAAAAAAAAAAAAAAA